CCAAAACUGCAGUUACUUUUGC
rnacentral:miRNA from 1 species